AGCCCGAUGCAUUGACCCGAGAGAUGCUGUGAUUGGGCCGAGAUAAAGUCAAGUUUUGGUAUUUUGCAAGUUGAUAGGAACCUGUGGAUGGUUAUUGUCCAUCUACGGAGCCGGUUUAUGCGAUCACAUUU